ensembl:ncRNA Y49G5B.6 ncRNA
CUGAGACCUACCUCACAUCUCCUACAUCAUCAGACCAAUAAAGAUCAGUCGAGCGCGCGCAUUGUUGCUCUCUCUCGCGGGCGCGAGCUCUCCGCACUGGACACACUGUGUUUAUUUUCACUUUCUAAACCCCCCAGCAACAGAG